AGUGAACGCUGGCGGCGUGCAUAAUACAUGCAAGUCGAACGAUGAAGUCCUAGCUUGCUAGGAUGGAUUAGUGGCGCACGGGUGAGUAAUAUAUAGUUAAUCUGCCCUACACAGAGGAACAACAGUUGGAAACGGCUGCUAAUACCUCAUACUCCUAUUUGACAUAAGUUAAAUAGGGAAAGUCUUUUCGGUGUAGGAUGAGACUAUAUCGUAUCAGCUAGUUGGUAAGGUAAUGGCUUACCAAGGCUAUGACGCGUAACUGGUCUGAGAGGAUGAUCAGCCACAUUGGAACUGAGACACGGUCCAAACUCCUACGGGAGGCAGCAGUAAGGAAUAUUGCGCAAUGGGGGAAACCCUGACGCAGCAACGCCGCGUGGAGGAUGACACUUUUCGGAGCGUAAACUCCUUUUAUCAGGAAAGAAUAAUGACGGUACCUGAUGAAUAAGCACCGGCUAACUCCGUGCCAGCAGCCGCGGUAAUACGGGGGGUGCAAGCGUUACUCGGAAUCACUGGGCGUAAAGGACGCGUAGGCGGAUUAUCAAGUCUUUUGUGAAAUCUAGUGGCUUAACCACUAAACUGCUUAGGAAACUGAUAGUCUAGAGUAGGGGAGAGGUAGAUGGAAUUCUUGGUGUAGGGGUAAAAUCCGUAGAGAUCAAGAAGAAUACCCAUUGCGAAAGCGAUCUGCUGGAACCUAACUGACGCUGAGGCGUGAAAGCGUGGGUAGCAAACAGG
rnacentral:rRNA from 1 species